CUCCAAGUCAUACUGGCCAACCUCAUUCUUAAAUGUUAUAAUUCCAUUGGACAUGAGGUGGUGCCAGUGCAGUUUUCUACCACUGUGAUUCUUUUUGUAAAAUUCUUCAACUUCUGGGAUGAGAUCUUCCAAUUCCGUGGGCAAUGAGACAAACACUUUUUCAGAACUACGUGACCAGGCACCAGCAUUUAAAAUUUUAAUAUUCACAGAGUCAGCUGGUAAAGCAAGUUUAUUAUUUUUGUGCAUUUCUUUGAAGGCCUGGUUCAAGUCUUCAGAUACUUUGAUAUCCUGGAACAUUCUAGCCAACUUGUUUACAUAGUCUGCUGGCAUACCUACUUCUCGGAGCCACUCC
rnacentral:lncRNA from 1 species